AGAGUUUGAUCCUGGCUCAGGAUGAACGCUGGCGGCAUGCCUAAUACAUGCAAGUCGAACGAGAGGAAGGAAAGCUUGCUUUUCUGAAUCUAGUGGCGAACGGGUGAGUAACACGUAGGUAACCUGCCCAUGUGCCCGGGAUAACUUCUGGAAACGGAUGCUAAAACCGGAUAGGUAGCAGACAAGCAUUUGACUGCUAUUAAAGUGGCCUUGGCCAUGAACAUGGAUGGACCUGCGGUGCAUUAGCUGGUUGGUGAGGUAACGGCCCACCAAGGCGACGAUGCAUAGCCGGCCUGAGAGGGCGGACGGCCACAUUGGGACUGAGACACGGCCCAAACUCCUACGGGAGGCAGCAGUAGGGAAUUUUCGUCAAUGGGGGGAACCCUGAACGAGCAAUGCCGCGUGAGUGAGGAAGGUCUUCGGAUCGUAAAGCUCUGUUGUAAGAGAAAAACGGCACUCAUAGGGAAUGAUGAGUGAGUGAUGGUAUCUUACCAGAAAGUCACGGCUAACUACGUGCCAGCAGCCGCGGUAAUACGUAGGUGGCGAGCGUUAUCCGGAAUCAUUGGGCGUAAAGAGGGAGCAGGCGGCCGCAAGGGUCUGUGGUGAAAGACCGAAGCUAAACUUCGGUAAGCCAUGGAAACCGGGCGGCUAGAGUGCGGAAGAGGAUCGUGGAAUUCCAUGUGUAGCGGUGAAAUGCGUAGAUAUAUGGAGGAACACCAGUGGCGAAGGCGACGGUCUGGGCCGCAACUGACGCUCAUUCCCGAAAGCGUGGGGAGCAAAUAGGAUUAGAUACCCUAGUAGUCCACGCCGUAAACGAUGAGAACUAGGUGUUGGGGGAAUAACUCAGUGCCGCAGUUAACGCAGUAAGUUCUCCGCCUGGGGAGUAUGCACGCAAGUGUGAAACUCAAAGGAAUUGACGGGGGCCCGCACAAGCGGUGGAGUAUGUGGUUUAA
rnacentral:rRNA from 1 species